AUCUUUGCAGUGGGGGCCAUGUUAUAAUUUCAUUAUAAAGAAGAUUUAAUCCUAAGAUG
rnacentral:tRNA from 1 species